UAACUUAGUGGCGAACGGGUGAGUAACGCGUGAGUAACCUGCCCUGGAGUGGGGGACAACAGUUGGAAACGACUGCUAAUACCGCAUAAGCCCACGGAUCCGCAUGGAUCUGCGGGAAAAGGAUUUAUUCGCUUCAGGAUGGACUCGCGUCCAAUUAGCUAGUUGGUGAGGUAACGGCCCACCAAGGCGACGAUUGGUAGCCGGACUGAGAGGUUGAACGGCCACAUUGGGACUGAGACACGGCCCAGACUCCUACGGGAGGCAGCAGUGGGGGAUAUUGCACAAUGGGGGAAACCCUGAUGCAGCGACGCCGCGUGGAGGAAGAAGGUUUUCGGAUUGUAAACUCCUGUCGUUAGGGACGAUAAUGACGGUACCUAACAAGAAAGCACCGGCUAACUACGUGCCAGCAGCCGCGGUAAAACGUAGGGUGCAAGCGUUGUCCGGAAUUACUGGGUGUAAAGGGAGCGCAGGCGGACCGGCAAGUUGGAAGUGAAAACUAUGGGCUCAACCCAUAAAUUGCUUUCAAAACUGCUGGCCUUGAGUAGUGCAGAGGUAGGUGGAAUUCCCGGUGUAGCGGUGGAAUGCGUAGAUAUCGGGAGGAACACCAGUGGCGAAGGCGACCUA
rnacentral:rRNA from 1 species